rnacentral:rRNA from 1 species
CCUACGGGGGGCAGCAGUAGGGAAUUUUGCUCAAUGGGGGAAACCCUGAAGCAGCAACGCCGCGUGGAGGAUGAAGGUUUUCGGAUUGUAAACUCCUUUUGUUAGAGAAGAUAAUGACGGUAUCUAACGAAUAAGCACCGGCUAACUCCGUGCCAGCAGCCGCGGUAAUACGGAGGUUGCAAGCGUUACUCGGAAUCACUGGGCGGAAAGAGCGCGUAGGCGGGUUAGCAAGUCAGAUGUGAAAUCCUAUGGCUUAACCAUAGAACUGCAUUUGAAACUGUUAUUCUAGAGUAUGGGAGAGGUAGGUGGAAUUCUUGGUGUAGGGGUAAAAUCCGUAGAGAUCAAGAGGAAUACUCAUUGCGAAGGCGACCUGCUAGAACAUAACUGACGCUGAUGCGCGAAAGCGUGGGGAGCAAACAGGAUUAGAUACCCUUGUAGUC